GACGAACGCUGGCGGCGCGCCUAACACAUGCAAGUCGAACGAGCGAGAGAGAGCUUGCUUUCUCGAGCGAGUGGCGAACGGGUGAGUAACGCGUGAGGAACCUGCCUCAAAGAGGGGGACAACAGUUGGAAACGACUGCUAAUACCGCAUAAGCCCACGGGUCGGCAUCGACCAGAGGGAAAAGGAGCAAUCCGCUUUGAGAUGGCCUCGCGUCCGAUUAGCUAGUUGGUGAGGUAACGGCCCACCAAGGCGACGAUCGGUAGCCGGACUGAGAGGUUGAACGGCCACAUUGGGACUGAGACACGGCCCAGACUCCUACGGGAGGCAGCAGUGGGGAAUAUUGCACAAUGGGGGAAACCCUGAUGCAGCGACGCCGCGUGGAGGAAGAAGGUCUUCGGAUUGUAAACUCCUGUUGUUGGGGAAGAUAAUGACGGUACCCAACAAGGAAGUGACGGCUAACUACGUGCCAGCAGCCGCGGUAAAACGUAGGUCACAAGCGUUGUCCGGAAUUACUGGGUGUAAAGGGAGCGCAGGCGGGAAGACAAGUUGGAAGUGAAAUCUAUGGGCUCAACCCAUAAACUGCUUUCAAAACUGUUUUUCUUGAGUAGUGCAGAGGUAGGCGGAAUUCCCGGUGUAGCGGUGGAAUGCGUAGAUAUCGGGAGGAACACCAGUGGCGAAGGCGGCCUACUGGGCACCAACUGACGCUGAGGCUCGAAAGUGUGGGUAGCAAACAGGAUUAGAUACCCUGGUAGUCCACACCGUAAACGAUGAUUACUAGGUGUUGGAGGAGUGACCCCCUCAGUGCCGCAGUUAACACAAUAAGUAAUCCACCUGGGGAGUACGACCGCAAGGUUGAAACUCAAAGGAAUUGACGGGGGCCCGCACAAGCAGUGGAGUAUGUGGUUUAAUUUGACGCAACGCGAAGAACCUUACCAAGUCUUGACAUCCCUUGACAGGCAUAGAAAUAUGUUUUCUCUUCGGAGCAAGGAGACAGGUGGUGCAUGGUUGUCGUCAGCUCGUGUCGUGAGAUGUUGGGUUAAGUCCCGCAACGAGCGCAACCCUUAUGGUCAGUUACUACGCAAGAGGACUCUGGCCAGACUGCCGUUGACAAAACGGAGGAAGGUGGGGAGGACGUCAAAUCAUCAUGCCCUCUAUGACUUGGGGUACACACGUACUACAAUGGCGUUAAACAAAGAGAAGCGAGACCGCGAGGUGGAGCAAAACUCAGAAACAACGUCCCAGUUCGGAGUGCAGGCUGCAACUCGCCUGCACGAAGUCGGAAUUGCUAGUAAUCGUGGAUCAGCAUGCCACGGUGAAUACGUUCCCGGGCCUUGCAC
rnacentral:rRNA from 1 species